rnacentral:rRNA from 1 species
UACGGGGGGUGCGAGCGUUGUCCGGAAUCACUGGGCGUAAAGGGCGCGUAGGUGGCGUCGUAAGUCUGUGGUGAAAGCCCGGAGCUCAACUCCGGGUCUGCCGCGGAUACUGCGAGGCUUGAGUGCGGUAGUGGGGGGUAGAAUGCCGGGUGUAGCGGUGGAAUGCGUAGAGAUCGGGAGGAACAUCAGUGGCGAAGGCGGCCAUCUGGGACAACACUGACGCUGAAGCACGAAAGCGUGGGGAGCAAACAGG